rnacentral:rRNA from 1 species
UACGUAGGUGGCAAGCGUUGUCCGGAAUUAUUGGGCGUAAAGCGCGCGCAGGUGGUUCCUUAAGUCUGAUGUGAAAGCCCACGGCUCAACCGUGGAGGUCAUUGGAAACUGGGAACUUGAGUGCAGAAGAGGAAAGUGGAAUUCCAAGUGUAGCGGUGAAAUGCGUAGAGAUUUGGAGGAACACCAGUGGCGAAGGCGACUUCUGGUCUGUAACUGACA